AGUCACUGACAUUAGAUACCCGGGUAGUCCCAGCCGUAAACAAUGUGCGUUAGGUGUGUCGGUAACCACGCGUUACUGAUGCGCCGAAGAGAAAUCGUGAAACGCACCACCUGGGAAGUACGGUCGCAAGGCUGAAACUUAAGGGAAUUGGCGGGGAGCACCACAACAGGUGGAGCCUGCGGUUUAAUUGGAUUCAACGCCGGACAUCUCACCGGAUAAGACAGCUGAAUGAUUGUCAAUCUGAAGGUUUACGUGACUAGCUG
rnacentral:rRNA from 1 species